UCCUACGGGACGCAGCAGUGAGGAAUAUUGAUCAAUGGGCGGGAGCCUGAACCAGCCAAGCCGCGUGAGGGAAGAAGGUACAGCGUAUCGUAAACCUCUUUUGUCAGGGAACAAAGGCGGGGACUAGUCCCCGGAUGAGGGUACCUGAAGAAAAAGCAUCGGCUAACUCCGUGCCAGCAGCCGCGGUAAUACGGAGGAUGCGAGCGUUAUCCGGAUUUAUUGGGUUUAAAGGGGGCGCAGGCGGCCUGUUAAGUCAGCGGUAAAAGCCCGGGGCUCAACCCCGUCGAGCCGUUGAAACUGGCGGG
rnacentral:rRNA from 1 species